rnacentral:misc_RNA from 1 species
UCUCCUACAUCCACAUUCCCAUGAGUUCUGCAUGCUGAUAACAAUGUGCCCCAUAUCACAACAUCUGCCUUCAUGGGCAUGCUCUUUAUCAUUUCCUCAGCUUCUUCAAGACGCCCUACUCUACCCAAGAGAUCCACCAUACAGCCAUAAUGCUUGAUAUCCGGUUUUAUAUUAUGUACGCUCUUCAUGCUCAUAAAAUAUCUCUCCCCUAGUUCCACCAACCCGGCAUGGCAACAUGCACUGAGGACUCCAAUGAAUGUGAUUGCAUUGAGCUUGAUAUGGCGCCUUUCCAAGUCUGAAAAUAUUUUAAGAGACAACUUUGCAUGUCCAUGCAUGGCCAACCCGCAUAUAAUAG